UACGUAGGGGGCAAGCGUUGUCCGGAAUCAUUGGGCGUAAAGAGCGUGUAGGCGGUUUGGUAGGUCCGCUGUGAAAACUCGAGGCUCAACCUCGAGACGCCGGUGGAAACCAUCAGACUAGAGUCCGGAAGAGGAGAGUGGAAUUCCGUGGUGUAGCGGUGAAAUGCGCAGAUAUCAGGAAGAACACCCGUGGCUAAGGCGGCUCUCUAGUACGGUACUGACGCUGAGACGCGGAAAGCGUGGGGAGCGAACAGG
rnacentral:rRNA from 1 species